rnacentral:rRNA from 1 species
GAUGAACGCUGGCGGCGUGCCUAACACAUGCAAGUCGAGCGCACGGACGCGAAGUUUGCUGCUCUGAUGUUUGCGGCGGAGGGGAGUGUUACACGAGGAUAACCUCCUUAUCUGUCUGGGAUAACCUCGGGAAUCCGGAGCUUACACCAGGCUAUAUUUUACACCGUAUGGGUCAGUGGAGAAAGACGGCUUUGCUGUCAUUUAUAGAUGGAUUCGCGCUGCAUUAGCGAGUUGGUAAGGUACCGGCUUACCAAGGCAAUGAUGCAUAGCCGACCUGAGAGGGGGUAGCGCCCCACUGAGGCUGAGAGGCGAUCCUGACACCUACGGGAGGCAGCGAUAGGGAAUCGUGCGCAAUGUGCGAAAUCCUGACGGAUCAGCGCCGCGUUGGUGAUGAAGGUCUUCGGAACGUAUGACUCUGUUAUUAGGGAAGAACAUAUGUGUAAGGGACUGUGCACAACGUGACGGUACCUGAUCAGAAAGCGACGGCUAACUACGUG